CCUACGGGUGGCUGCAGUGGGGAAUUUUGCGCAAUGCUCGUAAGAGUGACGCAGCGACGCCGCGUGAAUGACGAAGGCCUUCGGGUCGUAAAGUUCUUUCGACAGGGAAGAAAAUGCCUAUAAGUAACUGUGUAUGUAUUGACGGUACCUGUAUAAGCAGCCCCGGCUAACUCCGUGCCAGCAGCCGCGGUAAUACGGCGGGGGCGAGCGUUGUUCGGAGUGACUGGGCGUAAAGGGACCGUGGGCGGUGUUGUAAGGCAAUAGUCAAAGACUAGAGCUCAACUUUAGUAAGGCUAGUGAUACUAUAAUACGAGAGUAUCAGAGAGGCAUGCAGAAUGCCUGGUGUAGCGGUGAAAUGCGUAGAUAUCAGGAGGAAUACCGUUAGCGAAGGCGGCAAUCUGGCUGGAAACUGACGCUGAGGUGCGAAAGCGUGGGUAGCAAACAGGAUUAGAUACCCCUGUAGUC
rnacentral:rRNA from 1 species